GGGAGGGCGCUUACCAGUUUGUCAUUAAUCAAUGGGGUGAAGACUAAACAAGUUAACCGUAGGGGAACAUGCGGUUGGAUAACCUCCUUACCUUAAAGAA
rnacentral:rRNA from 1 species